rnacentral:rRNA from 1 species
ACCGGAUUAGAUACCCUGGUAGUCCACGCCGUAAACGAUGUCGACUUGGAGGCUGUUCCCUUGAGGAGUGGCUUCCGGAGCUAACGCGUUAAGUCGACCGCCUGGGGAGUACGGCCGCAAGGUUAAAACUCAAAUGAAUUGACGGGGGCCCGCACAAGCGGUGGAGCAUGUGGUUUAAUUCGAUGCAACGCGAAGAACCUUACCUACUCUUGACAUCCACGGAAUUUGGCAGAGAUGCCUUAGUGCCUUCGGGAACCGUGAGACAGGUGCUGCAUGGCUGUCGUCAGCUCGUGUUGUGAAAUGUUGGGUUAAGUCCCGCAACGAGCGCAACCCUUAUCCUUUGUUGCCAGCGAUUCGGUCGGGAACUCAAAGGAGACUGCCGGUGAUAAACCGGAGGAAGGUGGGGAUGACGUCAAGUCAUCAUGGCCCUUACGAGUAGGGCUACACACGUGCUACAAUGGCGCAUACAAAGAGAAGCGACCUCGCGAGAGCAAGCGGACCUCAUAAAGUGCGUCGUAGUCCGGAUCGGAGUCUGCAACUCGACUCCGUGAAGUCGGAAUCGCUAGUAAUCGUGGAUCAGAAUGCCACGGUGAAUACGUUCCCGGGCCUUGUACACACCGCCCGUCACACCAUGGGAGUGGGUUGCAAAAGAAGUAGGUAGCUUAACCUUCGGGAGGGCGCUUACCACUUUGUGAUUCAUGACUGGGGUGAAGU